CGGGGCGUAGCGCAGCCUGGUUUAGCGCGUCUGAAUGGGGUUCAGAAGGUCGGCAGUUCGAAUCUGCCCGCCCCGA
rnacentral:tRNA from 1 species